UUGUAUGUUAAUUGCAUAUUAUAUAAGAAGAAUAUAUUGUUCAUGUAGCCUCAUUAUCUAAUGUUCCAUGUGUUUUUAUAAUCCUAUUGCUCAUUUAACAUUAGUACAUGAAUUUUAGUCAAAGUAUUUUUGCAUAAUCUCCAUAAGAAUAUAUAUAAGGAGAUAAUAUAGUAAUUUUUUUAUACAUACACAAAUUAUAAUCUUUGUAUUCAUACUAUUUCUCUACAUAUAUAAAUGUAUUUAUGUAUGUAUGUAUUUUUUUUUUUUUUUUUUUUCUCUUUUUUUUAUUCAACUUUUAUUUUAUUAAUUUAGUGUUCUAUUCAUUUUUAUUUUCCUUGUUAUUUUUGUUUUCUUGCUUAGGACACAUACAUAUUGAAAAGCAAAAUUUUCAUCAUUUGCUUUGAGAUAUAUAUAAUUGCGUCCACAUGUAUAUUUGUUAAUGGAAAACUUUUUUUUUUUUUUUUUUUUUAUGCACAUAUUUUUUUAUACUCCCUAUAUAAUAUAUGUGAAUUAUCCAUAUAUCAGUUUUUCUAUUCAUAUAAUAUGCAUGUGUAAUUGCAUAGGGGGGAUUCUACAUCUUCUUAUUUAAUAUUUAAAUAUUUAUAUUAUAAUAUGUUUCAUUUCUUAUUCUUUUAUAAUUUUUUAGAUUUAUCUGUUUUUUUUUUUCUUUUUUUUUUUAUUUAUGAUAUACUCAAGAAUACAUUACUUUAUAGAUUUUAAUUCAUCUAUUAUUUCUUAUGUAUAUAUCAUCUGAGGUUUUAUAAUAUAUAUAUAUAUAUAUAUAUAUAUAACAUGCAUAUUUAUUUAUACAUAUAUACUUAUAUAUUUAUAUACAUAUAAUAUGUAUAUAGAUAUAGAUAUAGAGUAAUAGAAAAAACAUUUAUAAUUUAAUGUAUAUGCAUUUUAAAAUAUUGGACGAGUAUGCAUGAUAUUGAUAAACAUUUAUUUAUUUUUAUUUAUUUAAUUCUAGAUGUAUUUUUGUUGCACUUCAUAUAUGUAUAUCUCGGUCUUAUUUUGAUUUUAUUUAUUUACAUUAAACAUAAGAGUGCAUUUAUGUGAGGCACCAUUUGUUAUAGUUUUAUUUAAAUUAUUUUUAUAUUAAAUUAUAUUUUUUAAAGAGUAUAUAUAUUUACACCGUUGUACAAGAAUUAAGAACUAAUUAUAUACCAAGCAAAAGAAAAGGAGUAUAACA
rnacentral:sRNA from 1 species